rnacentral:lncRNA from 1 species
CUGGUACCUUUGAUAACUAUUUACACCACUGGGUCGAUGCCACUGCUGGUGGACGUUUCGUCCCCGAGGGUAUCACCAGCACAGUAGUCAACACUUCGGUGUUGACAUGAAUAUCAAUAAUAUGGUCAUUUUUAAAAAUUUCCAGUUUACAAAACAUUGAAUUUUUCGAAAAACUAAGGAUUUUCUUAUCCCAGGCAUAGAUUACCUUAGCCGUAUUUGGCAUAACUUUUUGGAAUUUUGGAUCCUCAAUGCUCUUCAACUUUUUACUCGUUUGGCUUUAUAAAUAUUUUG